GGAAACAUGCUGAUCAAGAGGAAGCUGCUAACUUCUAUCUUUAGCGGUUAAAUUCCGUUUAUGUUUCUA
rnacentral:tRNA from 1 species